rnacentral:rRNA from 1 species
GACGAACGCUGGCGGCGUGCUUAACACAUGCAAGUCGAACGGAAAGGCCCUGCUUUUGUGGGGUGCUCGAGUGGCGAACGGGUGAGUAACACGUGAGUAACCUGCCCUUGACUUUGGGAUAACUUCAGGAAACUGGGGCUAAUACCGGAUAGGAGCUCCUGCUUCAUGGUGGGGGUUGGAAAGUUUCGGCGGUUGGGGAUGGACUCGCGGCUUAUCAGCUUGUUGGUGGGGUAGUGGCUUACCAAGGCUUUGACGGGUAGCCGGCCUGAGAGGGUGACCGGGCACAUUGGGACUGAGAUACGGCCCAGACUCCUACGGGAGGCAGCAGUGGGGAAUAUUGCACAAUGGGCGGAAGCCUGAUGCAGCAACGCCGCGUGCGGGAUGACGGCCUUCGGGUUGUAAACCGCUUUCGCCUGUGACGAAGCGUGAGUGACGGUAAUGGGUAAAGAAGCACCGGCUAACUACGUG